rnacentral:rRNA from 1 species
CCUUACUGGGAGGGUCUAAGCCAUGCGAGUCAUUGUAGCAAUACAAGGCAGACGGCUCAGUAACGCGUAGUCAACCUAACCUAUGGACGGGAAUAACCUCGGGAAACUGAGAAUAAUGCCCGAUAGAACAUUAUGCCUGGAAUGGUUUAUGUUCCAAAUGAUUUAUCGCCGUAGGAUGGGACUGCGGCCUAUCAGUUUGUUGGUGAGGUAAUGGCCCACCAAGACUAUUACAGGUACGGGCUCUGAGAGGAGUAGCCCGGAGAUGGGUACUGAGACACGGACCCAGGCCCUAUGGGGCGCAGCAGGCGAGAAAACUUUGCAAUGUGCGAAAGCACGACAAGGUUAAUCCGAGUGGUUUCUGCUAAAGGAACCUUUUGUCGGUCCUAGAAACACCGAUGAAUAAGGGGUGGGCAAGUUCUGGUGUCAGCCGCCGCGGUAAAACCAGCACCUCAAGUGGUCAGGAUGAUUAUUGGGCCUAAAGCAUCCGUAGCCUGCUUUGUUAGUUUUCGGUUAAAUCUGUACGCUCAACGUACAGGCUGCCGGGAAUACUGCAAAGCUAGGGAGUGGGAGAGGUAGACGGUACUCGGUAGGAAGGGGUAAAAUCCCUUGAUCUAUUGAUGACCACCUGUGGCGAAGGCGGUCUACCAGAACACGUCCGACGGUGAGGGAUGAAAGCUGGGGGAGCAAACCGGAUUAGAUACCCGGGUAGUCCCAGCCGUAAACCAUGCAAACUCAGUGAUGCAUUGGCUUGUGGCCAAUGCAGUGCUGCAGGGAAGCCGUUAAGUUUGCCGCCUGGGAAGUACGUACGCAAGUAUGAAACUUAAAGGAAUUGGCGGGGGAGUACCACAAGGGGUGAAGCCUGCGGUUCAAUUGGAGUCAACGCCGG